rnacentral:rRNA from 1 species
CCUACGGGAGGCAGCAGUGGGGAAUAUUGCACAAUGGGCGCAAGCCUGAUGCAGCCAUGCCGCGUGUGUGAAGAAGGCCUUCGGGUUGUAAAGCACUUUCAGUCAGGAGGAAAGGUUAGUAGUUAAUACCUGCUAGCUAUGACGUUACUGACAGAAGAAGCACCGGCUAACUCCGUGCCAGCAGCCGCGGUAAU